AGAGAUGAUCACUGGAGCAUGAAGUUCAAGGCAGAGAGUAAUGGAUGAGGCUCAGAAGUGAGUGGGUCAGACAGAGAGGCCUGCAAGCCUGGCCAAAGGUGCUUGGACUCUAUCUUGAGGGAGAUGGAACGUCACUGAAGGCUUCAAGGUGGGAGGUCUGUGGAAUAUCAGAUUGCGUUUAGAAAGAGAACUCUGGCUACAAUGUGGAGAGUGGAUUGGGGUACAGGGCAGGAAGAGCAGUGAGAAAGCUGCUGUAGGGAUCCAAGGGGUAGUCAGUGAGGCCAAAAUUAUAAGCAGAGCAGGCCCGGAAGAAGCUCCUCCCAGCCCACAAGGCCAUUCAAUGCCUGGCACUUUGAAAGGGUUCUUGGCCCUAGGAACUCUCUCCCCCACCAUCUGAGCCACCUCAGCCCAGGCCUACAAAACCAGGCUCAGAGCCAUACCAUACACUACAAAGCAGGGGAUACCAUAGCCAGGUUUUGAGCAGGGAUUGAGAGUCACCUUCAUUCAUUAUCUCAUGAAUAUGCACAGAAACCUGUUGAAUUAUUCAAAUAGGAUGUAAAUGUGUAUGCAAAUUUGGCGCUGCCCUCCCUGUUGCUGUGGAAACCAGAGAAUAGCAAAGUAAGGGUCCAACACCCUGGGGAGACCAGGCUAGAGAGACUGAGGCCAGGAAACUCCUUUGUCCCUCGCCCACUUUUCCCACUCCUAAUGUUUUGAUCUCUUUCUUUGCCUAGCCCUGUCUUUGCUUCCUUCUGCCUUGUCCUCUGUCCAUCUCUCUGCCUCUCUUGAUCUUGCUGUCGCUGUCCUCCUCUCUCUCUUCUCCAUCUCUCUGUCUCUCUCUCAAUUGUUUUUUUUUUUCUCCCUGUCUCUGUGUUUCUCUGUCUGAGUCUGUCUCCACAUUGUUGCUCUGUGACUGAGACAGUUUCUCUCUGAUUUCAUAUCCCUCCCUAUCUUGGUCUCUGUGUCUUUAAUUCCAUGGCUCUCUCUUCUGCAUUUCCCUGUCUGUGUCCCUGACUCACAUCUCUUUCUCUGCAUCUUUGUUUUUGUGCCUGACUGUGUCUCUCAGAGUUUCUAUUUCUUGGUCUGUCUCCCAGGCUCUCUCUUCUCUCUUUUGCUCUGAUUCUAUCUCUCUGAACCUUUUGUCUCAAUGCUUGUCUUUAUCUAACAAGAAGGACAAGAAGCUGCACAUCUGUCCUUACCUGAUGGGACAUUCCACCCCUUGCCCAGCUGCCCGCAUGUUCAAGGAUUCCUGGCUUCUCUUCCCACAUAAAAUCCUGUUUCGGGUCUGGCCCCCAUCACUGUACUGGCAUAGGAUCCUCAUGACAGGCCCAGGCUGGCUACCAGGACACCAGACUCCUGUCUCAGCCUCUGCCUGCCAUGUGCCCCUGCCCAGAGUUUCUCCCUCUCUGGCUCUGUAUUCCCAGCACUCUGCUUGAAGCUGGUGGGCACCUUGAGGCAAUGGUGUGUUGGGAGUAGGGAAGUGAUGGGGAAGUCUUAGUGGCUCACCCAUCUGGCUGUCUGCCC
rnacentral:lncRNA from 1 species